CCUCUCGACUCCGCCGCCGGCGCCGCUGCCCCGCGCAGGCCCGUCGCCGCCCACCCUCGCUGCUGCCCCGCGCCCACCCACCCUCGCUGCUGCCUCGCGCCCGCCCACCCUUGUCGCUGCAUCGCACCGCUGCCGCCUCGGCGCUUUCCUCCUCCGCGCAGUCGCCACUCUGCCUGCCGCCUCGGCGCUUUCCCACGGCUCAAAAACCCUAGCCGUCGUUCUGCCUGCGACGGCCGUUUUCGCCGCUCAGCCUGCAGUCGCGCUAGGCGCUGUGCCCAGCUAAAUCUUCUAUGCUCAAGCCCCUGCCUCUCUCAAUCUCUCUCGCCUCCGGCCUUUCUCUGUCAUCCGACGGUCCAUGUUGCCCCUGCUUCCUCUGUACGUCGACUAUGGCGCCCACUGCUGCAAGCACCCGGCGAUUGUGCCUCCGUCGACCGACCUUCCACCUCUUUCGGCCUCUGUCUCAAUUGGGUGACUCCGCAGCAGAAGCAAUUGACAACAGCAGAUGAAGCCUCAGGACACGGUGGCAGGAGGUGAGGAAGAGUACAAUGCAUUUUUCUACUCUCUCGUAUCUACAGACACUCAGGAAUGUAUUAUUCAACAAAAAGGCAGCAGUUUUUGAUCGAUCAAGGUUAUAGUUUUAAGGUGCUGAUCUUGUUGGAAAGGUUGAAAGAAACAUCCCUGAAGAUGACCCCAGAAAUCCGGUUGUAAGAUAUCUGCUAUGCUUUUUGGUUGAUAUAUCUGUUUUGAAGUUAAUUCUAGUCACAUUUUGCAGGUCAUUGCUGACAAUGUUGGUGAUAAUGUCGGAGAUAUUGCUGGAAUGGGAUCUGAUCUUUUUGGUUCAUAUGCCGAAUCCUCUUGUGCUGCUCUUGUUAUCGUACUAACUUAUUUUGAUCUACCAUCCCAUAACAACUAUUUCUGCUUACUGAUUUCAGUUUUGGCAUUACUUUGGCAGCGUUGCAACUCUAAUAAGAUAAAGUUCAGUGCAGUUUUAGCAGCAGCCGGAUUAAUUGCUUGUCAUGCCUCAAAAAGGUUCCCUGAUGAACAGUGGGAAAAGUAUGCAGUUGUAACUCUCAUGGAUUGCCGGUCUGCUCUUGAUCCCGUGCUUAGCAGCCAUCAUAUCUUGCGUUUUCAAAGUCCACUGUUUUGAAGAUUUUUGAGCUAUUCUGAUGAGAUACCAUUUAAAGUUGGUGCUCCUGGUGCUUUCUCAGACCCAACAUCAGGUGACAAGAUGGCGCUAGAUCAAUUCAUCUCAUUGUGGAUUCAAGAAGAUACAAGUGCUCUAUCUAGCAUGCCUUUGAGUAAGAUACAAGAAGAAUUUGUGAAUCAUUUGCAUACUUGAUAUUAAUGUUCAAGUUCCCAGGCCAAUCAUUAGCUAUAAGGUAGUUGGUAUUUUCAAUUUUGAAUCGGAAUAUGCAAUGAUGAUGUAUACUUGAUAUUUGGUUCAUUUGUAUAAUAAUGUAUGAAUUUUUUGGAUGAUAUAUAAUAUUGUUAUCGUUGAUUUUA